rnacentral:lncRNA from 1 species
AAUGGCUAUUGCCAAAAUACAAGAAAACUAGAGGCCCUUGAAACUAGACUAGAAGCAAGAAAGGAGUUGACAAGAGUGAAGAGGGCUUCACUCUUGCCUCUAUAUAUACUAUCUAACUAGAAGCCACGUGGCGAUGUUCUAUAAGACCUCCAAUAUAUAUUGACUUUCUAGGCCACAUGCCUUUGCUUGCAAGGCAAGUUUUCUAUGGAUGGACCACGUAGUUAGCUUGUUCUUUAAGCUUCCAACAUGCGUGGCACAUGGCUAACUUGCUGACCAAGUUUCUAAUCUAAAAGUCAACUAUAGACUCCUAUAAAGUCAAAGCAGCGUCUAUGAAGCUUCUAAGAAGCUUCUCUAGAAGAUAUUACACAAUUAACCUACUUUUACAUACUUUUAUCUAUUCAUAUAGGUAAUUAUAUGUAUGUCCGUGACAUUACCCCCCCUUCUAGGGACGAGUUCCACGAGGAGCGGUGAUUAUAUAUUGAGAAAAUCUAAUAUGCGGUGAAUUGUAUUUGCUACAUACUCUGAUCUUUGUUCUCUUCGAAGAUAGUUGAUGGGUCCUCUUAGCCAUCGAUAGUGUCCCAUUCCAGGGCGAGAAGACCACCCUGUUAUUUGAUCACUGUUGAGGCCUUCAUAACUUCCUUCAAAUAAUACAUUUGAAACACCAUCAGGAGUCGUUCCUAUCUCCAAUAAUAUCACCAAACAUCGAGAAUCUCUUCCAAGGUCGUGAUACCAAACGCGUUGUAUCUCACCAUCUAUUCGAGGAAGAACAUGUCGUUCUUGAGGGUCUUCAUCUCGGUUGCGUCGUCUUGAAGGUUGUGACAAUCGCAAUGUCUCAUCCGGUAAGUCAGCAAACGAAGGUUCUUGAGUUGAAUCCGCUGGUUGUUGGCUCUCCAUCUAAUUAGCGUCACAAAAUGCAAAGAAAUUACAAACAAGGAUAGGAAAUUGAAUGUUAUCUUGCCUCAAUCUUGUCUCUUUUAUAAGAGAGGUUUUCAUCUUGGUUUUGAUGGAUGUCGUUGAUGAAAAACUUUGACUUUAGCUGAUGCAUUUACUAGAUUCCUGGAUGGCUCCCAUGUGCGCUCACUAAUAUCAUAUCCGCACCAAUGAACAAGAUAUUCCAGCUUAUUUCGGCGCCGCCUUGAGUCUAAUAUCUCUUCCACCUCAAAUUCUUCAUUAUUAUCUACUUCUAUAGGAGGCGGUGGCAUUUGUCUUCUUCCUUGUAUAUCCACUGUCUUAUAUGGUUCAAGAAGAGACACGUAGAAUACAGGAUGGAUCUUCAUUGACUCCGGUAGAUGUAACCGAUAUGCAACUGGGUUGAUCUGUUCAGAAACAGAAAAGGGGCCAAGCCUACGAUAGUCCAAUUUGUCACAAGGUCGAGUGGUCUUGAUAUUGCGACGAAGUAGCCAUACCUUAUCAUCCACGUUGAGUUGUGGUUGCUCUUUACGAUAUACAUCUGCAUUUAUCUUUUGUCAUUCUUGAGCUUUCUUCAACUGCGCCUUCAUUAUUGCAUGUAACUCUGACAACCGAUUUGCCAUAUCUUCUGCUGCAGGAUUAUCAACUUUUGAAAAAUCAUAAGUAUCAAGUCGUGGAUGAUAGCCAUAAUUGGCAAAGAAAGGUGUUUGUUGCGUGGAGGAAUGUACCGUAUUAUUAUAAGCAAACUCUGCCAAUGGCAGAAGGUUUGUCCAAUCAUCUUGUUGGUAGUUGAUGGUACACCUUAAAUACUAUUCCAAGACUUGGUUUACGCGCUCUGUUUGUCCAUCAGUUUGAGGAUGGAAAGCUGAAGAUAGCUUUAUGUCCACUUUUAAAAUCUUGAAAAGAGUCCUCCAGAAUCUCGACACAAAUUGAGUUCCCCUAUCCGAUAUGAUAUCUUUAGGUAAUCCAUGAUAGCGAUAGAUAUUAUCAAUGAAAAGCUUAGCUGUUUCUUCACUUGUGAUAGAUUUUGUACAUGGCAUAAAAUGUGCCAUCUUGGUGAAACGAUCUACUAUCACAAAUAUAGAAUCAUAAGAUCUUGAGUUUGGAAGAUCUGUGAUGAAAUCCAUAGAAACAGAAGACCAUGGUUGUUCUGGUAUAGGUAAUGGCUGAAGAAGUCCGUAAGGUCGAUGUCGAGGAAUUUUUGAUCUUGAACAAAUAUCACAUGAUUGUACAAAGUCUUUGACUGACUUCCGAAUUUGUGGCCACCAAAAAUCUCUUGAUAUGAGUUCCAGAGUCUUAUUAUAUCCAAAGUGCCCUGCUGCUGGAAAGUCAUGACGUGCUUGAAGAACACGCAAACGUGCUUUUCCUUCUGGAACAUAUAGGCGUCCUUCAAAAUAUAAUAGAUUAUUCUUGAACUCGAACUUAGAAGAAUCAUGAGACUUGGAAGAAUUAUUCUCGAUAUCAUGAACAAGAGGGUCUGAGGACAUACUGGACUGGAUUUGCUUGAGAAAAGUUGAAUCAACAGUCAAUGUUGAUUUCACUGCUCGGAGAUGAAAUUGCUCCGGUUUCAAGAGGACCGUUCUUUGUUGCUCAAAAGCUGCAUCUCCUUCUUUUGGUACAAAAUAAGAACGUCUAGACAGGGCAUCGGACAAACCUUGUUGUUUUCCUGGCCGAUAAGUGAUAAUGAAGUCGAAUCUUGACAAAGACAUACUCCAACGAGCUUGACGACGAUUCAACACGCGUGCUGACAUGAAAUACUCGAGGUUCUUGUGAUCUGUAUACACAAUGACUGGACUAGAAGCACCUUCUAGAUAAUGACGCCAUUCUUGAAAAGAAUCCACGAUUGCAAGAAGUUCUUUAUCGUGGAUCUCAUAAUUGAUCUCGACUGCUGAGAAUUUUCUUGAAUGAAAAGCUAUCGGAUGAAGUUUGUCAUCUGUUCCCAUUUGUGAUAAAACUGCACCCAAGGCAAAAUCCGAUGCGUCUGUUUCCAUAAAAAAUACCUUGGAAAAGUCAACACGAUAUAAGACUGGUGCAGAGACAAACGAUGUCUUCAAGGCUUCAAAUGCUGCUUCCGCUUCUUGAUUCCAUUGGAAUUUAUCUUUACUAGUCAAGUGUGUAAGUAGAGCUGCAACUCGUGAGAAAUCUUUGAUGAAGAUCCGAUAGUAAUUGGCAAAUCCCAAGAAACAUUGGACAUCUCUUACAGUCUUUGGAAUCUUCCAAUCCAUGAUUGUUUGGACUUUCUUAGAAUCCAUCAUAAGACCAUCAUUUGAAAUGAUGUAUCCUAAAAAGUCAACUUGAGUAGUGUGAAAUACACACUUUUCUAUCUUGGCGUACAAUCCUGCAUCUCUAAGUUUUUGUAAUACUUGACGAACAUGUAUUUCAUGUACUUCGACAUUCUUAGAAUAGAUCAGGAUAUCGUCUAGGUAGCAGAUGACAAAAUUGUCUAAGAAUUCACGAAAUACAUCAUUCAUGAGAUGUUGAAAAGCAGCUGGUGCAUUCGUGAGUCUUAAAGGCAUGACAUUAUAUUCAAAAUGCCCGUACCUGGUUCGAAACGCAGUCUUCCAUUCAUCUCCUUCUUUGAUCCGUACUAGAUUAUAUGCUCCUCUUAGAUCUAUUUUUGUAUAGAUCUUAGCUUGAUUUAACUGGUCAAGGAGUCCUGAUAUCAAAGGUAAUGGAUACCUGUUCUUGAUUGUGAUCUUGUUGAGUCCUCGAUAGUCAACACACAUUCGUAAAGAUCCAUCUUUUUUCUUUACGAAUAAAAUUGGAGCUCCUGCUGGAGAUUUUGAAUGGCGUAUGAAAUUCUUCGCUAAAUUCUCGUCAAUAUAUGUCUUGAGUUCAGCCAACUCAUCUUGCGAUAAACUGUAAAUUGGUCCAAAUGGUGGCUGACUUCCUUCCUUGAGAUCGAUUGAACAAUCGUAUGGGCGAUGCUCAGGAAGAAUAUCUGCAUUCUUUUUCUCAAAAACAUCUUGAUAAUCCUGAUAUUGACUUGGAAUGCCACUUGAAGUCUUUACGCUUUCAGAAAUAGGUGCAGCAUAAAUAGCAAAAGUUGAUCCUUCUUUUGCUGCGUGUAUAAAUGCUUUUGCACCUAUAAGUGCGAGUUUUACUAUACUAGAGUCAUGGUUUUUUACUUGGUUAAUAGAACUGUUACUAAUGCUCCGAGGAAAAUCAAGUUUACGAGAAAUCCAAUCUAUUCGAGGAUUAUACUUUUCUAACCAUGAUAAGCCUAAAAUUACUGGAUUAGAGGGAGAUCUAAUUAUAUUAAAAAUUACGCAACUACUAUGACCAUUUAUUACUACAUCUACAGGAAGUGUUUCGUGAGUUACAUCUCCAAAAGACAACGGACGACCAUCUAUGACUUCUACGUGUACAGGUUUAGUUUUUUGUAUUAAUGAUAUUCUAUGACAUCUAGCAAAUUCUUCAUCUAAAAAACAAGAUGAGGCUCCUGAAUCUACCAAGGCAGAGGCUUUGUAAUUAUUAGGUCCUAAACGCACAUCUAUUAUAAAACAAGGAGAUGGUUCUGAGGAGAGGAUAGGACCUUUAUUAGAAGUUGUACAAGAUUCCAGCCGCACGGUCCCUAUUGUAGCUGGACGUACUCGUUUUCCGACAUACUGUCUUCUUUGACAGCCGUACUCCUCAUUUUGUAGUUACGUCGCUUCUUUGGACAAUGUUGAGCAGUGUGCUUAGGUUCUCCAUAAUAUAAGCACAAUCCUUGUUAUCGACGACGAGACUUUUCUUGCUCAGUAAGAGGUUUGAAACGUACUGCAUCAAUUUGCAUAUCUUCUACUUCUGAAGGUAUGUGUUGAGGAGACGUCGGUGUUGCCAUUGAAUUGUAGUAACAUUGAGGCCCACUUGUGCGACUCUCGGAUCGAAAUUCAAAAAGUCGAUUGUCGCACUUCACAGCAAAGUCAAUUGCUUGACUCAAUGUUUGAGGAUCAGGUAAAUUAAGCAUCAAUUUCUUUACCUCAUAUUGUAAUCCGUAGAGAAGUUGACUCACAAGUGCGGCAUCAUCCCACUUGAUAUCAGUUGCAAGUUGUCAAAAUUACGAAGCAUAUAAUGUUACUGAUCGAUUGCCUUGUCGCAAAAUAUGGAUCUUGUUGGUUGCAACACGAAUUGCAUCAUGUUCUCCAAACAUGGAUCAAAACUCCGCCAAAAAAGCCUCCAGAUUAUCCAAUAUUGGAUCUCGUCGUUCAAGAAAAGAUGAAAACCAUGACAAUGCUGAACCUGAAAGAAGUGUACCAAUGAAUCUUACUUGUGACCCUGGAGUUGGAUAGCUCUAGGAUUGAGGUUCAAUCACUAAUUGGACCUGAUUGAUGAAUCCUCGAAACUUGGAUCUGGUACCAUCAAACUUCUCGGGCAAGGCAACUCUCGGUUCUCUAACACUCGAAGGAUGUUCCAUUCUGGGAGAAGGGACAUGGUUUGGUGCAGAUGUUGAAGCAGCCCCAAUCAUCUCUAUAUCUUCACUUCCUACCAUUCUUAUUGCUCCUUGUGGUGGUAAAUUGAGUUGAUGCAUCGCAAGCAUUAACUCCCUCAAUUGUUCUUGCAUCUGUGCCAUUGCACUCUUCAUUUCAACAAGCUCUGUCAUAGUAGCACUUAAAAAAGAGAAGAUGUCUAAUAACGCUCAAAACAAAUAGAAGAGAGGAAUUGAUAACAAAGAAAAUACUAAGAACAAUAUCAGUUUAAAAGAGGGUAAUCCGCAACUUCUAAUGCGCUUAUGUCUUAUCAAGAAAAAGGGGUACUCCACUCUCAAUCAAGAAAAGACAAAGCUCUGAUAUUGUAAGUGUACUCUUGUCAAUCUGUCAAGGACAAGAACUCGAUGAAAGCUAAAGAGUAAGUGAGACUUUUCUCAAAAAGAAAUAGGACAAAAUAGAAAUAUGUAUAUUAAGAAAGAAAUUAGAAUGGCUAUUGCCAAAAUACAAGAAAACUAGAGACCCUUGAAACUAGACUAGAAGCAAGAAAGGAGUUGACAAGAGUGAAGAGGGCUUCACUCUUGCCUCUAUAUAUACUAUCUAACUAGAAGCCACGUGGCGAUGUUCUAUAAGACCUCCAAUAUAUAUUGACUUUCUAGGCCACAUGCCUUUGCUUGCAAGGCAAGUUUUCUAUGGAUGGACCACGUAGUUAGCUUGUUCUUUAAGCUUCCAACAUGCGUGGCACAUGGCUAACUUGUUGACCAAGUUUCUAACGUAAAAGUCAACUAUAGACUCCUAUAAAGUCAAAGCAGCGUCUAUGAAGCUUCUAAGAAGCUUCUCUAGAAGAUAUUACACAAUUAACCUACUUUUACAUACUUUUAUCUAUUCAUAUAGGUAAUUAUAUGUAUGUCCGUGACAUUUAUAUCUCGUCUCUAUAGUGACUUCUAGUGCUUGAAAAGAUUCAAGUAUGGUAUAAACCUCUCUUGAAUGAAUCUCAACAAUCUUAUCAUUAUCCCCUAAUCCAAUAGAUGUAAUCAAUUCCAAUGAAUCUUCCAACCCAUUUUCUUCAUAAACACCUAAAAUCCUCUCAUCAUCUUGCAAUGUACCUAACUUGCGUAAUUGUCCUUCAAUAUCAUAUAAUCUUUUUCUUUCUUUUCUUUUAAAAUCAUCAACUUUCAUAUACAUAAUAUUUCUAUUUUCCAAUAUACCAAUAAAACUCGAAUCAAAGGCACCUUCAUCUUACGAGAGUACCUCCUCCUUUGUACCUCCAUAAUCUCGUUUUACAGUGGUACCUCCCCAAAAUCCUUAAAUCCUUCAACAAUCUUUGGCAAUGGUUUCUCCCUCAACCUAUCUCGAUUUCGUUCAUGGUUAGGAGGUACUGUUAGAAAUUGUACAGCUUUCCUCCCAUCUUCGCUACGUACCCUUGCAUAAGUAGAACCAUCGUCAAAUACUUUUGUUUCCAUCUGUGUUGUCAUAAUAUAAGGUUGUCCUAAAAUCAACGGAUAAGACGUUGUAUCUUGAACAAAGAAAUGUUGCUCCGUCACAACAUCCCCAAUCCGAAUUUUGACAUCUGGACAAGCUCCAUAUAAUUCGCCCUGUGUGUUAUUAGCUGCUCGAAUUGCCCAUCCAUGUUCCAUAUCAAUUGACUAUUUUUGUUUCUUAUAAAGAUCUUUAGACAUGAGAUUUAUUUCAGAACCAUGGUCGACUAAAGCAACAAUUGGUUCUUCUAUAUGUCAUAUUUUCACCAAUACCUCAGUAGUUGCCCUUGCCAAAUGCUUUCGAGUAUAAUGGCUCAAAGUUUCCAUUUCAUUGUCACUAGAAUCUUUGAAAUGUACUCGUUGAUUAUACCCAUUCUUUUCAUUUGUUGGUUGCUUGUAACCAAUAUCAACCUCUUCUUCAUCUCCAUAUAUUCUUGCAUCAAUAGCAUAACUCAUUCCAGUUUCGCCCAUUAAUUGCCUCUUUCGCUUAAUGCUGUCAAUGAUGACGUCAUGAAAUUCCUUCUUUGCAAUUUCCAAGAUUUCUUUCAAUGUGAAUUCCACCUUAGCAUUUAAUAUAUGUUCUUCCUACACCCCUUUCAAAUUUGUUGCCGCUUCAAUGUCAGAAAGUAGCUUAUAAGCAAUUGAUUUGUCCUUAUCUUUUGUCUCUUUUAUUUUUUCUGCCAAUGAUGCUGAGAUAUCCUUUACAGGCAAUUCUUGUGAAGCUGCCUCCCAAGCCUUGUCUCCUCGAGUUUGCCUCUUAGAAGAAUUUCCUUUUCUAGUAUCAUCAAAAUUUCCUUGUCUCUUUUCUUCCAUCAAAGCUUCAUGUUGGCUCUUAGCAAUAUAUGCAUGAACUGAAAGAGACUCAACAAGAUCCUCCCAACCUAUUCUACCUCGUAUUGUAGCUGCAGUUCUUAAUAACGCUUCUCGAGGUAAUUUCCCUUCUUGCAUUGUAGAAACGUCAGAAGCCCAAAACUCACUAGUUUCCGUACUUCCACCAAUUUCAUCAUCUACUCUGGCACCAUAACUUGUACUUUCUCGUGCUGCUGUUUCAUGCUCUUUUAGGUAAUCUUGAACCAAUGCUCUCAUUCCUCUCUUACCAAAAUUGGUUUCAAGAAGAUCCUCUCUGUUUUUCAAUGCUAUCUUCCCAUCUUUCGAGCAAAUAAUUCCCUGCCGUAUCAUAUUAUUAAAUUCAUUGCAAUCUUUUCUAGUGUGUGAAGCAUCAUUACACCAAAUACAUCUUUGUACAUAUCCUUAUUUUGAAACAUUCUUCGAAUUGUUUGUAGAAGUAUUCUCUUCAAGUCUUGCCAAUUUGAUUUGAAGAUCUCGCAUUCCUCAUAUAAUUUCUUCCAUUACCAUAUCUGCUUUCUUUGAUAAGGAUGUCGAAGGUUGAAUUGUAGGCAUUGUUGGUGGUGUUGUAUGCACUGGAGCUUUGGAUGCUUGUACUGUUUUUGGAAUAUUGCUCCUAUCCUUCCUCCUUUCUUUUUUUGUAAGUAACCCCACCGCAUCUUCAACGUUCUUCUACUUCGUUGUCAAUCCUUCAUCUUCUUCUGUGUCUUCAAGAAGGAGUUCUAAUUUCCCUUGCAAUUCUCCAUCAGCAGCUUGAAGAAAUAGAUCAACUUUAUUCGACUCCAAUGUCAUUUUUUCUACCUUUGACAAUUGAGAGUACUGCCUCUCAAAUUCUCUUAGUAGCUCUGUUGCUUGGAAAUUCUUAUUGGACCGUUCAAUCCAUUCCAGAAACAGCUUCUUAGUAACAUGAUCAGCAUCUUCUAAGAAAUAUUCGUCUUUCAAUGCAUGUGAAAAAAUCUCCCAUGAAUUCCCAUAAUGAUCCGUAAUCAAUGUAAUGUGGUCUCUUAUCUCCGGUAUCAUCGCAAGUCCAAAUAGUUCAACCAUUUUCUUCUCAAAAACCCGAUUUAAUUCCAUUUCACGAACAUAACAUCUUAAAUACCUUGAAAUAUUUCUGCCAUCAAAUUGAUCAAUUUUACUGAUCACUGCUUGCAAUGCUUUGGUUGCCAAAGCUUCCUUUCGAUCAUUGCUUUGCUGUUGAUGCAUUGAUAAUGAGAAGGCUUCAAACAUAUUAGUAAUAGAUGGAUCCAUGUGCAUACCUUAUGCUUUAGAAGAAUCCUCACCAAAAACUCCUCCCAAAAAUCCUUCAAAAUUUUAAUUUUCGUUUUCCAUAAAAUAAAGAUAAAAUCAAACGAAAUCCAAUACCUUCCACCUCAAUCUUUCACGUCAGGUUCACCACUUUUGUCGUAUUACGUGCUUUCCUACUCGAGAACGCGUCGGGCGUCUGGCUGUAAAAGGUAGUAUGGAGAUUCGCCAAUAGUCAAGCAGUCUAUCAGUUUUUGACUGUUGGAAUAUAAACGACUACAAGAAUACACCGUAAAUCUAUACGGAUGCCCUUCGACUGCUCACCAAAGUUCUUUUUGUCCCGGCCAGUAGGUCUUUAGACGUUACAGAGAACCCCAAACAACCCAAACUAUUAAUCUUCAAUACCCCUUUGUACUUACGAUCUUGUAUCCACUGACUGUCCUGUUAGAUUAACCCAAUAAAUUUCAUUCACUCCGCAUACUCAAUCCUAUAGACACCCCUUUAAUCCUUCAAUCACAGACGUAACUCGAUUUUACAAAAUAAUCAAGAGUAUUCAAACCCACUUCAUUAAAAAAUCCCGAUUCACCAUUACAACACUGACUUCAGCAACGAUUGCCUCAGUCUUCCCAAAACCCUAUGAAGAAAAAAAAUCCAAUUCUCCGUCUUUUCUUCCCCGACCUGAAGCAUGAAGCUCCUCUCCAAUCUCCUUGAUCUUCAAAAAAACCUCUAAUGAAAACCAAACUAAUAACCUUCAAAAAAAGCUUGAAGCUAGCUCUUCCAUCCAAAAAGAAACCCCCCCAAAAAACUUAUUCUCUCCCUAACCUUAUCCUCUGAAUUUCUUCAAUCUUUCGUCUUGGAUCCAGAAUUGGCUCCCACCGUCAGAGCUUAGAUCCAAAAUUGGCUCCCGUCGUCAGAGCUUUUCUCCUCCGUUUUAAUCUUUAAGAGAUCCAUUUAUCGAAAACAACGUUCUCUGAAACGGCACAGAGAAUAGGACAGCCUAAAACAGAAUCGAAACCCCGUACUCAGGUCCACAUUGAGUCGCCCGACCAAUUCAAGUCUCAUAUUGAGUAAGAUGCUUGUAGUAACCUGGAUGUUCGCGUAAUUGGGUCCAAUUGGUCCUCACGUCAGAUUGGCUAAGGUCCGUAGUAAGACCUGGAUUUUCCCGUAAUUAGACUGCAUUGGGUUGCCCGGCCAAUUUAGGUCUCAUAUUGGGUAAGAUGCCCGUAGUAAGACCUGGAUUUUCCCAUAAUUGGAUCAAAUUAGUCCUUCGCGUCAGACUGGCUGAGGCCCGUAGUGUCAAGGACAAGAACUCGAUGAAAGCUAAAGAGUAAGUGAGACUUUUCUCAAAGAAAUAGGACAAAAUAGAAAUAUGUAUAUUAAGAAAGAAAUUAGAAUGGCUAUUGCCAAAAUACAAGAAAACUAAAGACCCUUGAAACUAGACUAGAAGCAAGAAAUGAGUUGACAAGAGUGAAGAGGGCUUCACUCUUGCCUCUAUAUAUACUAUCUAACUAGAAGCCACGUGGCGAUGUUCUAUAAGACCUCCAAUAUAUGUUGACUUUCUAGGCCACAUGCCUUUGCUUGCAAGGCAAGUUUUCUAUGGAUGGACCACGUAGUUAGCUUGUUCUUUAAGCUUCCAACAUGCGUGGCACAUGGCUAACUUGCUGACCAAGUUUCUAAUCUAAAAGUCAACUAUAGACUCCUAUAAAGUCAAAGCAGUGUCUAUGAAGCUUCUAAGAAGCUUCUCUAGAAGAUAUUACACAAUUAACCUACUUUUACAUACUUUUAUCUAUUCAUAUAGGUAAUUAUAUGUAUGUCCGUGACAUUACCCCCCCUUCUAGGGACGAGUUCCACGAGGAGCGGUGAUUAUAUAUUGAGAAAAUCUAAUAUGCGGUGAAUUGUAUUUGCUACAUACUCUGAUCUUUGUUCUCUUCGAAGAUAGUUGAUGGGUCCUCUUAGCCAUCGAUAGUGUCCCAUUCCAGGGCGAGAAGACCACCCUGUUAUUUGAUCACUGUUGAGGCCUUCAUAACUUCCUUCAAAUAAUAUAUUUGAAACACCAUCAGGAGUCGUUCCUAUCUCCAAUAAUAUCACCAAACAUCGAGAAUCUCUUCCAAGGUCGUGAUACCAAACGCGUUGUAUCUCACCAUCUAUUCGAGGAAGAACAUGUCGUUCUUGAGGGUCUUCAUCUCGGUUGCGUCGUCUUGAAGGUUGUGACAAUCGCAAUGUCUCAUCCGGUAAGUCAGCAAACGAAGGUUCUUGAGUUGAAUCCGCUGGUUGUUGGCUCUCCAUCUAAUUAGCGUCACAAAAUGCAAAGAAAUUACAAACAAGGAUAGGAAAUUGAAUGUUAUCUUGCCUCAAUCUUGUCUCUUUUAUAAGAGAGGUUUUCAUCUUGGUUUUGAUGGAUGUCGUUGAUGAAAAACUUUGACUUUAGCUGAUGCAUUUACUAGAUUCCUGGAUGGCUCCCAUGUGCGCUCACUAAUAUCAUAUCCGCACCAAUGAACAAGAUAUUCCAGCUUAUUUCGGCGCCGCCUUGAGUCUAAUAUCUCUUCCACCUCAAAUUCUUCAUUAUUAUCUACUUCUAUAGGAGGCGGUGGCAUUUGUCUUCUUCCUUGUAUAUCCACUGUCUUAUAUGGUUCAAGAAGAGACACGUAGAAUACAGGAUGGAUCUUCAUUGACUCCGGUAGAUGUAACCGAUAUGCAACUGGGUUGAUCUGUUCAGAAACAGAAAAGGGGCCAAGCCUACGAUAGUCCAAUUUGUCACAAGGUCGAGUGGUCUUGAUAUUGCGACGAAGUAGCCAUACCUUAUCAUCCACGUUGAGUUGUGGUUGCUCUUUACGAUAUACAUCUGCAUUUAUCUUUUGUCAUUCUUGAGCUUUCUUCAACUGCGCCUUCAUUAUUGCAUGUAACUCUGACAACCGAUUUGCCAUAUCUUCUGCUGCAGGAUUAUCAACUUUUGAAAAAUCAUAAGUAUCAAGUCGUGGAUGAUAGCCAUAAUUGGCAAAGAAAGGUGUUUGUUGCGUGGAGGAAUGUACCGUAUUAUUAUAAGCAAACUCUGCCAAUGGCAGAAGGUUUGUCCAAUCAUCUUGUUGGUAGUUGAUGGUACACCUUAAAUACUAUUCCAAGACUUGGUUUACGCGCUCUGUUUGUCCAUCAGUUUGAGGAUGGAAAGCUGAAGAUAGCUUUAUGUCCACUUUUAAAAUCUUGAAAAGAGUCCUCCAGAAUCUCGACACAAAUUGAGUUCCCCUAUCCGAUAUGAUAUCUUUAGGUAAUCCAUGAUAGCGAUAGAUAUUAUCAAUGAAAAGCUUAGCUGUUUCUUCACUUGUGAUAGAUUUUGUACAUGGCAUAAAAUGUGCCAUCUUGGUGAAACGAUCUACUAUCACAAAUAUAGAAUCAUAAGAUCUUGAGUUUGGAAGAUCUGUGAUGAAAUCCAUAGAAACAGAAGACCAUGGUUGUUCUGGUAUAGGUAAUGGCUGAAGAAGUCCGUAAGGUCGAUGUCGAGGAAUUUUUGAUCUUGAACAAAUAUCACAUGAUUGUACAAAGUCUUUGACUGACUUCCGAAUUUGUGGCCACCAAAAAUCUCUUGAUAUGAGUUCCAGAGUCUUAUUAUAUCCAAAGUGCCCUGCUGCUGGAAAGUCAUGACGUGCUUGAAGAACACGCAAACGUGCUUUUCCUUCUGGAACAUAUAGGCGUCCUUCAAAAUAUAAUAGAUUAUUCUUGAACUCGAACUUAGAAGAAUCAUGAGACUUGGAAGAAUUAUUCUCGAUAUCAUGAACAAGAGGGUCUGAGGACAUACUGGACUGGAUUUGCUUGAGAAAAGUUGAAUCAACAGUCAAUGUUGAUUUCACUGCUCGGAGAUGAAAUUGCUCCGGUUUCAAGAGGACCGUUCUUUGUUGCUCAAAAGCUGCAUCUCCUUCUUUUGGUACAAAAUAAGAACGUCUAGACAGGGCAUCGGACAAACCUUGUUGUUUUCCUGGCCGAUAAGUGAUAAUGAAGUCGAAUCUUGACAAAGACAUACUCCAACGAGCUUGACGACGAUUCAACACGCGUGCUGACAUGAAAUACUCGAGAUUCUUGUGAUCUGUAUACACAAUGACUGGACUAGAAGCACCUUCUAGAUAAUGACGCCAUUCUUGAAAAGAAUCCACGAUUGCAAGAAGUUCUUUAUUGUGAAUCUCAUAAUUGAUCUCGGCUGCUGAGAAUUUUCUUGAAUGAAAAGCUAUCGGAUGAAGUUUGUCAUCUAUUCCCAUUUGUGAUAAAACUGCACCCAAGGCAAAAUCCGAUGCGUCUGUUUCCAUAAAAAAUACCUUGGAAAAGUCAACACGAUAUAAGACUGGUGCAGAGACAAACGAUGUCUUCAAGGCUUCAAAUGCUGCUUCCGCUUCUUGAUUCCAUUGGAAUUUAUCUUUACUAGUCAAGCGUGUAAGUGGAGCUGCAACUCGUGAGAAGUCUUUGAUGAAGAUCCGAUAGUAAUUGGCAAAUCCCAAGAAACAUUGGACAUCUCUUACAGUCUUUGGAAUCUUCCAAUCCAUGAUUGUUUGGACUUUCUUAGAAUCCAUCAUAAGACCAUCAUUUGAAAUGAUGUAUCCUAAAAAGUCAACUUGAGUAGUGUGAAAUACACACUUUUCUAUCUUGGCGUACAAUCCUGCAUCUCUAAGUUUUUGUAAUACUUGACGAACAUAUAUUUCAUGUACUUCGACAUUCUUAGAAUAGAUCAGGAUAUCGUCUAGGUAGUAGAUGACAAAAUUGUCUAAGAAUUCACGAAAUACAUCAUUCAUGAGAUGUUGAAAAGCAGCUGGUGCAUUCGUGAGUCUUAAAGGCAUGACAUUAUAUUCAAAAUGCCCGUACCUGGUUCGAAACGCAGUCUUCCAUUCAUCUCCUUCUUUGAUCUGUACUAGAUUAUAUGCUCCUCUUAGAUCUAUUUUUGUAUAGAUCUUAGCUUGAUUUAACUGGUCAAGGAGUCCUGAUAUCAAAGGUAAUGGAUACCUAUUCUUGAUUGUGAUCUUGUUGAGUCCUCGAUAGUCAACACACAUUCGUAAAGAUCCAUCUUUUUUCUUUACGAAUAAAAUUGGAGCUCCUGCUAGAGAUUUUGAAUGGCGUAUGAAAUUCUUCGCUAAAUUCUCGUCAAUAUAUGUCUUGAGUUCAGCCAACUCAUCUUGCGAUAAACUGUAAAUUGGUCCAAAUGGUGGCUGACUUCCUUCCUUGAGAUCGAUUGAACAAUCGUAUGGUCGAUGCUCAGGAAGAAUAUCUGCAUUCUUUUUCUCAAAAACAUCUUGAUAAUCCUGAUAUUGACUUGGAAUGCCACUUGAAGUCUUUACGCUUUCAGAAAUAGGUGCAGCAUAAAUAGCAAAAGUUGAUCCUUCUUUUGCUGCGUGUAUAAAUGCUUUUGCACCUAUAAGUGCGGGUUUUACUAUACUAGACUCAUUGUUUUUUACUUGAUUAAUAGAACUGUUACUAAUGCUCCGAGAAAAAUCAAGUUUACGAGAAAUCCAAUCUAUUCGAGGAUUAUACUUUUCUAACCAUGAUAAGCCUAAAAUUACUGGAUUAGAGGGAGAUCUAAUUAUAUUAAAAAUUACGCAACUACUAUGACCAUUUAUUACUACAUCUACAGGAAGUGUUUCGUGAGUUACAUCUCCAGAAGACAACGGACGACCAUCUAUGACUUCUACGUGUACAGGUUUAGUUUUUUGUAUUAAUGAUAUUCUAUGACAUCUAGCAAAUUCUUCAUCUAAAAAACAAGAUGAGGCUCCUGAAUCUACCAAGGCAGAGGCUUUGUAAUUAUUAGGUCCUAAACGCACAUCUAUUAUAAAACAAGGAGAUGGUUCUGAGGAGAAGAUAGGACCUUCAUUAGAAGUUGUAUAAGAUUCCAGCCGCACGGUCCCUAUUGUAGCUGGACGUACUCGUUUUCCGACAUACUGUCUUCUUUGACAGCCGUACUCCUCAUUUUGUAGUUACGUUGCUUCUUUGGACAAUGUUGAGCAGUGUGCUUAGGUUCUCCAUAAUAUAAGCACAAUCCUUGUUAUCGACGACGAGACUUUUCUUGCUCAGUAAGAGGUUUGAAACGUACCGCAUCAAUUUGCAUAUCCUCUACUUCUGAAGGUAUGUGUUGAGGAGAGGUCGGUGUUGCCAUUGAAUUGUAGUAACAUUGAGGCCCACUUGUGCGACUCUCGGAUCGAAAUUCAAAAAGUCGAUUGUCGCACUUCACAGCAAAGUCAAUUGCUUGACUCAAUGUUUGAGGAUCAGGUAAAUUAAGCAUCAAUUUCUUUACCUCAUAUUGUAAUCCGUAGAGAAAUUGACUCACAAGUGCGGCAUCAUCCCACUUGAUAUCAGUUGCAAGUUGUCGAAAUUGCGAAGCAUAUAAUGUUACUGAUCGAUUGCCUUGUCGCAAAAUAUGGAUCUUGUUGGUUGCAACACGAAUUGCAUCAUGUUCUCCAAACAUGGAUCAAAACUCCGCCAAAAAAGCCUCCAGAUUAUCCAAUAUUGGAUCUCGUCGUUCAAGAAAAGAUGAAAACCAUGACAAUGCUGAACUUGAAAGAAGUGUACCAAUGAAUCUAACUUGUGACCCUGGAGUUGGAUAGCUCUGGGGUUGAAGUUCAAUCACUAAUUGGACCUGAUUGAUGAAUCCUCGAAACUUGGAUCUGGUACCAUCAAACUUCUCGGGCAAGGCAACUCUCGGUUCUCUAACACUCGAAGGAUGUUCCAUUCUGGGAGAAGGGACAUGGUUUGGUGCAGAUGUUGAAGCAGCCCCAAUCAUCUCUAUAUCUUCACUUCCUACCAUUCUUGUUGCUCCUUGUGGUAGUAAAUUGAGUUGAUGCAUCGCAAGCAUUAACUCCCUCAAUUGUUCUUGCAUCUGUGCCAUUGCACUCUUCAUUUCAACAAGCUCUGUCAUAGUAGCACUUAGAAAAGAGAAGAUGUCUAGUAACGCUCAAAACAAAUAGAAGAGAGGAAUUGAUAACAAAGAAAAUACUAAGAACAAUAUCAGUUUAAAAGAGGGUAAUCCGCAACUUCUAAUGCGCUUAUGUCUUAUCAAGAAAAAGGGGUAAUCCACUCUUAAUCAAGAAAAGACAAAGCUCUCAUAUUGUAAGUGUACUCUUGUCAAUCUGUCAAGGACAAGAACUCGAUGAAAGCUAAAGAGUAAGUGAAACUUUGCUCAAAGAAAUAGGACAAAAUAGAAAUAUGUAUAUUAAGAAAGAAAUUAGAAUGGCUAUUGCCAAAAUACAAGAAAACUAGAGACCCUUGAAACUAGACUAGAAGCAAGAAAGGAGUUGACAAGAGUGAAGAGGGCUUCACUCUUGCCUCUAUAUAUACUAUCUAACUAGAAGCCACGUGGCGAUGUUCUAUAAGACCUCCAAUAUAUGUUGACUUUCUAGGCCACAUGCCUUUGCUUGCAAGGCAAGUUUUCUAUGGAUGGACCACGUAGUUAGCUUGUUCUUUAAGCUUCCAACAUAUAUGGCACAUGGCUAACUUGUUGACCAAGUUUCUAACCUAAAAGUCAACUAUAGACUCCUAUAAUAUCAAAGUAGCAUCUAUGAAGCUUCCAAGAAGUUUCUCAAGAAGAUAUUACACAAUUAACCUACUUUUAUCUACUUUUACAUACUUUUAUCUAU